GCCGUGGUCGAGGCGCAGGACGUCCGCCUGCUGCGCGGUGUGCCGUGCGCGGUCGUCCGGUUCGAGUCCGACGACGACGCCA
rnacentral:tRNA from 2 species